rnacentral:rRNA from 1 species
CCUACGGGCGGCUGCAGUGGGGAAUAUUGCACAAUGGGGGAAACCCUGAUGCAGCGACGCCGCGUGAGUGAAGAAGUAUUUCGGUAUGUAAAGCUCGAUCAGCAGGGAAGAAGAAAGACGGUACCUGACUAAGAAGCCCCGGCUAACUACGUGCCAGCAGCCGCGGGAAUACGUAGGGGGCAAGCGUUAUCCGGAUUUACGGGGGGUAAGGGGAGCGUAGACGGCUGUGCAAGUCUGAAGUGAAAGCCCCUGGCUCAACCCUGGGACUGCUUUGGAAACUGUGGAGCUAGAGUGCUGGAGAGGUAAGUGGAAUUCCUAGUGUAGCGGUGAAAUGCUUAGAUAUUAGGCGGAACACCAGUGGCGAAGGCGGCUUACUGGACAGUAACUGACGUUGAGGCUCGAAAGCGUGGGGAGCAAACAGGAUUAGAUACCCCAGUAGUC